rnacentral:rRNA from 1 species
UAUUUGCGUUGAAGGUAUACCGGUAAGGAGUGCUGGAGCGAAUACAAGUGAGCAUGCAGGCAUGAGUAGCGAUAAUUGGGGUGAGAAUCCCCAACGCCGUAAACCCAAGGUUUCCUACGCGAUGCUCGUCAUCGUAGGGUUAGCCGGGUCCUAAGCAAAGUCCGAAAGGGGUAUGCGAUGGAAAAUUGGUUAAUAUUCCAAUGCCAACUAUAAUGUGCGAUGGAAGGACGCUUAGAGUUAGAGGAGCCAGCGGAUGGUAGUGCUGGUCGAAAGGUGCAGGUUGGAGUUCAGGCAAAUCCGAACUCCUUUAAGCCGAGGCCUUACAGGUGCGUGAAGUUCUUCGGAAUGAAUCGUAAA